rnacentral:rRNA from 1 species
CCUACGGGAGGCAGCAGUAAGGAAUAUUGGUCAAUGGACGCAAGUCUGAACCAGCCAUGCCGCGUGCAGGAUGAAGGCCCUCUGGGUUGUAAACUGCUUUUAUAGGGGACGAAAAAGGGACUUUCUAGUUCAACUGACGGUACCCUAGGAAUAAGCACCGGCUAACUCCGUGCCAGCAGCCGCGGUAAUACGGAGGGUGCAAGCGUUAUCCGGAUUUACUGGGUUUAAAGGGUGCGUAGGUGGGUCGGUAAGUCAGCGGUGAAAUCUUCAAGCUUAACUUGGAAACUGCCAUUGAUACUAUCGAUCUUGAAUCAUCUGGAGGUAAGCGGAAUAUGUCAUGUAGCGGUGAAAUGCUUAGAUAUGACAUAGAACACCAAUUGCGAAGGCAGCUUACUACGGAUGUAUUGACACUGAGGCACGAAAGCGUGGGGAUCAAACAGGAUUAGAUACCCUGGUAGUCCACGCCCUAAACCGAUGGAUACUCGACAUACGUGAUAUACUAUGUGUGUCUGAGCGAAAGCAUUAAGUAUCCCACCUGGGAAGUACGAUCGCAAGAUUGAAACUCAAAUGAGUUAGAGGNGNGAGAGNGCGACGGACGACGACGAGGGAGGAGG